rnacentral:rRNA from 1 species
AGCUACAGGCUUAACACAUGCAAGUCGAGGGGCAGCAUGGUCUUAGCUUGCUAAGGCCGAUGGCGACCGGCGCACGGGUGAGUAACACGUAUCCAACCUGCCGUCUACUCUUGGACAGCCUUCUGAAAGGAAGAUUAAUACAAGAUGGCAUCAUGAGUCCACAUGUUCACAUGAUUAAAGGUAUUCCGGUAGACGAUGGGGAUGCGUUCCAUUAGAUAGUAGGCGGGGUAACGGCCCACCUAGUCUUCGAUGGAUAGGGGUUCUGAGAGGAAGGUCCCCCACAUUGGAACUGAGACACGGUCCAAACUCCUACGGGAGGCAGCAGUGAGGAAUAUUGGUCAAUGGGCGAGAGCCUGAACCAGCCAAGUAGCGUGAAGGAUGACUGCCCUAUGGGUUGUAAACUUCUUUUAUAAAGGAAUAAAGUCGGGUAUGCAUACCCGUUUGCAUGUACUUUAUGAAUAAGGAUCGGCUAACUCCGUGCCAGCAGUCGCGGUAAUACGGAGGAUCCGAGCGUUAUCCGGAUUUAUUGGGUUUAAAGGGAGCGUAGAUGGAUGUUUAAGUCAGUUGUGAAAGUUUGCGGCUCAACCGUAAAAUUGCAGUUGAUACUGGAUAUCUUGAGUGCAGUUGAGGCAGGCGGAAUUCGUGGUGUAGCGGUGAAAUGCUUAGAUAUCACGAAGAACUCCGAUUGCGAAGGCAGCCUGCUAAGCUGCAACUGACAUUGAGGCUCGAAAGUGUGGGUAUCAAACAGGAUUAGAUACCCUGGUAGUCCACACGGUAAACGAUGAAUACUCGCUGUUUGCGAUAUACGGCAAGCGGCCAAGCGAAAGCGUUAAGUAUUCCACCUGGGGAGUACGCCGGCAACGGUGAAACUCAAAGGAAUUGACGGGGGCCCGCACAAGCGGAGGAACAUGUGGUUUAAUUCGAUGAUACGCGAGGAACCUUACCCGGGCUUAAAUUGCAGAUGAAUUACGGUGAAAGCCGUAAGCCGCAAGGCAUCUGUGAAGGUGCUGCAUGGUUGUCGUCAGCUCGUGCCGUGAGGUGUCGGCUUAAGUGCCAUAACGAGCGCAACCCUUGUUGUCAGUUACUAACAGGUUCCGCUGAGGACUCUGACAAGACUGCCAUCGUAAGAUGUGAGGAAGGUGGGGAUGACGUCAAAUCAGCACGGCCCUUACGUCCGGGGCUACACACGUGUUACAAUGGGGGGUACAGAGGGCCGCUACCACGCGAGUGGAUGCCAAUCCCCAAAACCUCUCUCAGUUCGGACUGGAGUCUGCAACCCGACUCCACGAAGCUGGAUUCGCUAGUAAUCGCGCAUCAGCCACGGCGCGGUGAAUACGUUCCCGGGCCUUGUACACACCGCCCGUCAAGCCAUGGGAGCCGGGGGUACCUGAAGUGCGUAACCGCGAGGAGCGCCCUAGGGUAAAACUGGUGACUGGGGCU